GUGUGGCUCAGUUGGUGAGAGCGUGGUGCUAGCAACACCAAGGUCGUGGGUUCGAUUACCACAGGGAAACA